rnacentral:rRNA from 1 species
GACGAACGCUGGCGGCGUGCUUAACACAUGCAAGUCGAACGGAAAGGCCCUGCUUUUGUGGGGUGCUCGAGUGGCGAACGGGUGAGUAACACGUGAGUAACCUGCCCUUGACUUUGGGAUAACUUCAGGAAACUGGGGCUAAUACCGGAUAGGAGCUCCUGCUGCAUGGUGGGGGUUGGAAAGUUUCGGCGGUUGGGGAUGGACUCGCGGCUUAUCAGCUUGUUGGUGGGGUAGUGGCUUACCAAGGCUUUGACGGGUAGCCGGCCUGAGAGGGUGACCGGCGACAUUGGGACUGAGAGACGGCCCAGACUCCUACGGGAGGCAGCAGUGGGGAAUAUGGCACAAUGGGCGGGCGCCUGAUGCAGCAACGCCGCGUGCGGGAUGACGGCCUUCGGGUUGUAAACCGCUUUCGCCUGUGACGAAGCGUGAGUGACGGUAAUGGGUAAAGAAGCACCGGCUAACUACGUG